rnacentral:rRNA from 1 species
AACGAACGCUGGCGGCAUGCCUAACACAUGCAAGUCGAACGAGACCUUCGGGUCUAGUGGCGCACGGGGGCGUAACGCGUGGGAACCUGCCCUUAGGUUCGGAAUAACUCCCCGAAAGGGGUGCUAAUACCGGAUAAUGUCUUCGGACCAAAGAUUUAUCGCCUUUGGAUGGGCCCGCGUUGGUUUAGCUAGUUGGUAGGGUAAAAGCCUACCAAGGCGACGAUCCAUAGCUGGUCUGAGAGGAUGAUCCGCCACACUUGGACUGAGACGCGGCCCAGACUCCUAGGGGAGGCAGCAGUGGGGAAUAUUGGACAAUGGGCGAAAGCCUGAUCCAGCAAUGCCGCGUGAGUGAUGAAGGCCUUAGGGUUGUAAAGCUCUUUUACCCGGGAUGAUAAUGACAGUACCGGGAGAAUAAGCUCCGGCUAACUCCGUG